GCCCUUAGAGUUUGAUCCUGGCUCAGAACGAACGCUGGCGGCGCGUUUUAAGCAUGCAAGUCGAGCGGCAAGCGCGAGCUCUUCGGAGGUUGCGCCUAGAGCGGCGAACGGGUGAGUAACACGUAGGUGAUCUGUCCUUGGGGUUGGGGAUAGCCUGUGGAAACAUGGGGUAAUACCGAAUGGCUCCCAUCGGCUGUGGCUGAUGGGGGAAAGGUCCUUCGGGGCCGCCUUAGGGUGAGCCUGCGGCUCAUUAGCUAGUUGGUGGGGUAAGAGCCUACCAAGGCGACGAUGAGUAGCCGGCCUGAGAGGGUGAUCGGCCACAUUGGGACUGAGAUACGGCCCAGACUCCUACGGGAGGCAGCAGCUAAGAAUCUUCCGCAAUGGGCGAAAGCCUGACGGAGCGACGCCGCGUGGGUGAAGAAGGCCUAACGGUUGUAAAGCCCUUUUCUGCGUGAGGAAUAACCCGAGGAGGCAACGCCUGGGGGAUGACGGUAGUGCAGGAAUAAGCCCCGGCCAAUUACGUGCCAGCAGCCGCGGUAACACGUAUGGGGCGAGCGUUGUUCGGAAUUAUUGGGCGUAAAGGGCGCGCAGGCGGCCACGUAAGCCUGGUGU
rnacentral:rRNA from 1 species